rnacentral:lncRNA from 1 species
UUUUUUUUUUUUUUUUUUUUUUGGCAUUCUUGCUUAGCUGAAUCCUGACACAGGUCUUGAUGGCAGAAUCUGGCUAUUUGGCUUCAACCCCUACCUGUUGAGCACAAUUCCCUUUGCAUGUGAAGCGCCUCCAAAAGGGCUGGCCUUCAGGGCUGUGCCCGAGUGGGUUUUCUUGUACUGUGUAUCGUGUCACUUCUGAUCCCAUCAGUGGUUACGGAGCUUCCUGGGAAUACAAAGUCCAAGGCACUUGCCCAUCCUGCCAGCACCACAGGCCUGAGCAAAAAGGGCAAGGUGGUUUUGAGGGAGCUGCCAGAAGACCGAGAGGGUCACAACACCUUCACUCAAGGGCAGAACAGCCACCUCCAGCUGGCAGCUCCCUUGCGUCACUCUGUCGCUAAGUGGGAAUGGAUGCUCCCUCCUGGGCUGGAAUCCCAUUAUCCAUCCCAGGCCCUCGGCCUUCUGGAGGGCAGGAAGGGACAUCAGGUCAGGGUGUGGCUCAAAAGUCCUUGUUGUUGGCUUAAAGAUCCUCUCAAGACUUCCCAGGUGUAGAAAAAACAAGGUUUAAAGGGACCUGCACAUCAGAGCAAGUGGCCCUUAGAACCUGAAGGGGAAGGCAGUUCAACAUCCCUAAAUGGAAGCUUUGUUAUUAAGAGUCCUUAUCUGGUAAGGCUCUGAGGUAAAAUCAGUGAGUCCUGACUUGCUGUUUUUGUUUUAAUGUUGUACUUUGGAGAGGUCUUGUUUUGACCUGGUGAGGAUAAGAGUGGGUGGGAGGGAUGGACCUCAGGCGAAGGGAGGGUUUUUAUUUACUUUCUGAUAAUCAUACUGCCUGCCUCUCUUGGAAAAUCCUUCCUUGUCGUGUCAAGUAGUACAAAAUAAAACCAAAUGUUCUUUGUGUAUUUACAUUGGGGCCUUAGUUAUAGAAAAAUAUGGAUAGGAAAAACAUUAGUAGAAAAUAUAAUUAAAUGGUUUCUUUAUGUUGGGGUUGUGAAUGUUUUUUUUUUCUUUUUUCCAAAUUUUAUGUAACGAAUAAAACAUUUAUAAUGAAACUGAAAAGUUGGGGGGGAACUUAGCCUUGUUUUGUAAUUUAUGUCACACAUUUUGUCUGAAAAUUUCAUCAAAUGCAACAGUCUUCAAAUUUGGGGGUAUGUGUCACCUGGGGAGAUUUUGUAUUUUUCAGAGACUGUGAAAGUCCUAGUAACUCCUCAAGGGAUACACAGAAUAAUAAAUCUUUGAGUUCUGCAGGAACUAAGGCUCCCACCCAGGUGGAGGACUGAAUGGAGGUGUUGACUUGACUCUCCUGACUUCGGUCAACUAAGGCUUGGACUCUGUGACCUUUGCCUCAAUUCUAUGCUAAAUUCUCUGCUCUAGCCCCUUCAUAAAUAUGCAUGUACCCUUAGCUUCAAAAUUCCCUAACUUUGCUAUUCAGGGAGACACUGCUUUAGGAAAGAUUCCCAGUGUUCUCCUUACUUACUGUAAGUAAUAAUAAACCCCUCCUUCUCCUAAUCUUUGGCUUGGUUGUCUUUUGGCUCAACACCCACCAAGAGUCAAAGCCAGUUUUCAGGUAACAAACUGAUGGUUUCUACAGACUUCCUCAUUAAUCUGGCUAUGACCCUCCUGUGAGGUCCAGGAUAGCAGGACUCUGGCUGGAAUCAGAAGCCGAAAGGAGAAGUUCCCAUUGUGGCUCAGUGGUUAACAAAUCCGACUAGGAACCAUGAGGUUGCAGGUUUGAUCCCUGGCUUUGCCCAGUGGGUUAAGGAUCCAAUGUUGCCGUGAGCUGUGGUGUAGGUUGCAGACGUGGCUGUGGCAUAGGCCGGCAGUUAUAGCUCCCAUAGACCCCUAGCCUGGGAACCUCCAUAUGCCACAAGUGUGGAUCUAAAAAGCCAAAAAAAAAAAGCUGAAAGGAGUAUCCACAGCUGCCCAUUACUGUGAAUGGUGGGUAACAAACAGAGUGUGGGUCUCCUGGCUAGGUCUCUGGGUACCUCCAUUUGAUCAAAUUCCCCAUAGGGGCUUCCAUGUCACUUAUUACCUUACUGGGUACUGGAAAAUAGUCAAAGUUAAUUCUCAAAGAAAUAUUCAUUUAAAUUCAUUUAAAAACAAAAACAAAAAACAGGCACAUGAAUUUCACAGACUCCAGGAAAUGGGAGAGAGUUUGUAAAACAAAAUAUAUAUCAGAUACAUACAAGUAUUUACUGCCUCAAAUGAAUGAUAUCAAUCAAGAGCCAACUGUGACAAAUUUUAAGCUAAAUAUUCAAGGAGGCAUCUGUCUUUCUAGCUAAUGUGUGUGUUGUGUGGAUGGGUGGUAGCAGCAGUGGUGAUGGUGGCCAACAUCUGAAACUAUAAUACGGGAAAUGACCCAGAUCCCUCAAGUCUUGGCUUGCAAUAAAGAUCAGAGACCUAGAUCAACAUAAUGGAGGUUUUGAUCCAAAAGUAAGAUCAAUACAUUGUCUCUCAAUUAUUAUCUCCAUAGGAAAUGAGAGUAUUUUCAGAUUCAGAGACUCAUAUAAAUGAAAAGUUCCUGAAUUUCAGGUGUACAGAUGGGCAAAUUCAUUUCCAGCUGAGUGGAGCAGGAGACACAGUCGAGGUGUCUCUCAGCCUCUGCCCCCCUUUCCUAGAGCUGUCUCUGCUCAGACCCACAGGCAGAGUCAUACUGCCUUCCUGGCUAGAGCUGAUGGGAUUAGCAGUGGGAUGAAGAGAGACCCAGUCUAGAGGGAUUUGAAUCAGGGCUCUGAGAUGCUCUUUGUCAUUCCCGCAGACCAGUGGACAGAGGACAUGGAAACUAGGGAGUGAGGGCAAGCAUGCUGGGUCAGAGGCAUGCAAAAAUGGUGAUGGCUGGUUCGCUGAGACCAGUGGAGCAGACAAUUUGAGAGAGAACUCGAGCGAGGGAAGCUAUCUGCUGGCUUCCUGGGCCAGUCCUUGGUGGGUCCCAGCCACGCUGGAGGCCCUUGUAUUCCAUUAGCCACCUCAAGAGCCUUGCAUAAAGGCCUUUUUGCUUAAACUAGUUUGAAGUGAUGUCUUUAUCUUGUGACCCAAAAAGCGCUGACUAGAAAAAAAUGGUAACCAAAGCAAAAUGAGCAACUUCACCAGGAACUAACAUUGAGAAAGAAAUGUAAAUGGAAACAGACAUUAAGAAUGCAUUAGCCAUUUUUCCCUGAUGAUGAAAAUUUUAGAGCAGUCAUUCUUAGCUUUUGGUGGGUGGUAGUGCUUAGAAUUCUUUAAGAAACUCAUGCAAGAAAAAAACCCACAAGUUGCAUAUAAUCCACAAAUCACAAGAUAAAUAUUUAGGUUAUUAGUGUUUUGAUUUGAGCCUUAAUAAAUGUGUAUAUAUGUGUGUUAUUUUCAUUAUACCUCCCAUUUAGAUUAUAGGCUUAUUUCAAAGGAUAAAAGUUUUGUUUCUCUGUAAAUUUACCUUAGUAAAAUUCUUCUUUUUUUUUUUUUUUUUUUUUUUUUUUUUUUUUGGUCUUUUUGGGACUGCACUCCCAGCACAUGGAAGUUCCCAGGCUAGGGGUCAAAUCAGAGCUACAGCUGCUGGCCACAGCCACAGCCACAGCUACGCCACAAUACCAAAUUCUUGUUGUUUCAUAUCAACCAUGUCCUCCCUGUGCUCUAUGGAGCUAGAGAAUGGACCACCAUCUAUCUAUUACACAAAGUAGAAACCCCUAGGCCAUACUUGGCAUUUUAUCUCUCCCUUUCCCCCCAGUACUUAGUCCAUCCCUGAAGCUUACCGAUUUUAUCUUGUAAAUCUCUCUUUAGUUUUUCCACUUGUCCAUACCUUUAUUGCUACAUCCCAGGCCACUGGCCCCUCUUCUUAACAAAGCUUCUUCUCUGACCUCUUUAUUCACUCUUGCUCCUCUUCAAUGCACUGCCCAAGCAGCAGCUGGCAGCACUGGGUUGCCCAACAGACAGACCAGGCUCAUGCUACUACAUCUGUGAAGCAGGGCACAAAAAACCUGAAAAAUUCCUUGGAAAAUUUUUAUAUUUUGUGUCAGUUAGGAUACAAAAUUUCUGCAAGUAAUAGUAACCCCAGCUAAGACAGGGAGAAAACAUAUCAUCUCCCAUAACAAAUUCAAGAUUAGGUAGGCUCUAAGGUUAGGCUCAGCCAUGUCUUGAAGUGCCUAUAUUUGUCCUGUCUUUCCACUGUUGUCUCCCCUCAUGGUGGUAAGGUGGAUGCAGAAAGCAAAUAGGCAGCAUAUUCCCUUAUUCACAUCCUGUGGGAGAAGGAAAAUCUCCCCGACUCUUAAGUUUUUCCUUUAGCUUGAAUAAAGCAAAUUUAAGUUACAUGUGCCCUUGUGGGUCUGGGAAAGACCAAAUAGUCACUGGCAUGGACUGACUGAGGUUUACCUGUAGAUUUGAUGGACAGUUGAACAAAAUUUGAGGAUCUGCUGAGAACGAGGAAGAGGGUGGUGGAUGCUACCCCUGAUCUAAUAUGGCUCUUCUUUUAUGCAAAGCUUGAAAUAUAUGGAAGGGGCCCUUGUCUACUGGAGAAAGAGGAAGGAAAUUUAAGUAAAAUGUCAUGUAAAGCAUGAGUUUUCCUUCUUAUUUCAAUAUUCAGAAUUCAAAUGCAUUGAUUUUCUGUCAUCUGGCACAAGCAAAAUCUAAUAAUUGAUCUAUAAUUCAGUAAAGAAAUUUCCAAUUUUUCUUUUUGCAUUAUGAUAAAGUUAAAAUAUAAAGGCUAGCAUAUGGGACCAGGUGUGGGUCAUUCUUUUUCCAAUUAAAAAAAUAUAUUGACUGAGAAAUGGAAUACUUUAAUAAAAAUAGUGAUUUUUAUGGUAAUAAUGAAAAUAAUUCUAUUUAUCAAAAAAUGCAUAUUGACCAUGAUGGCAGAAGAGGUUGCCUGACUACAGGGGUAAAUACAAAGUCACAGUCUUCCCUUUGGGGCUGUAAGGAUUAAGUAACUUAUACAUCUAUAGUUAUGCCAGCCUUCAGUAAAAAGGAAACAUAUUUUAGGCACAGUUAUGAGAUAAGUUGAAAGACAUGAAUCCAUUCUUUCAGAUAACAGGCUUAGGCACAUUAGAGGUAAUUAAGUUCUAAAAAACUGCUGUAUAAAAAAUCAAGCACAUCUAAACCAGGAAUAGGGGAUUCUGGAGUUCCCAUCGUGGCUCAGUAGUAACGAACCUGACUAGUACCCAUGAGGAUGUGGGUUUGAUCCCUGGCCUCGAGCAGUGGGUUAAGGAUCCAGAAUUGCUGUGAGUUGUGGUGUAGGUCACAGACAUGGAUCACAUCUGGCGUUGCUGUGUGCUGUGGCCAGCAGGUGUAGCUCUGAUUAACAUCAUAGCCUGGGAACUUCCAUGUGCUG